AUUGAACGCUGGCGGCAUGCUUUACACAUGCCAGUCGAACGGCAGCGCGGGCUUCGGCCUGGCGGCGAGUGGCGAACGGGUGAGUAAUACAUCGGAACGUGCCCAGUAGUGGGGGAUAGCUCGGCGAAAGCCGGAUUAAUACCGCAUACGACCUGAGGGUGAAAGCGGGGGAUCUUCGGACCUCGCGCUAUUGGAGCGGCCGAUGGCAGAUUAGCUAGUUGGUGGGGUAAAGGCCUACCAAGGCGACGAUCUGUAGCUGGUCUGAGAGGACGACCAGCCACACUGGGACUGAGACGCGGCCCAGACUCCUACGGGAGGCAGCAGUGGGGAAUUUUGGACAAUGGGCGAAAGCCUGAUCCAGCAAUGCCGCGUGUGUGAUGAAGGCCUUCGGGUUGUAAAGCACUUUUGGCGGGAACGAAAAGGACUGUGCCAAUACCACGGUUCGAUGACGGUACCCGCAGAAUAAGCACCGGCUAACUACGUG
rnacentral:rRNA from 1 species